GUCAAAGUUUAUGUUUAUGUUCGCCGUCCGUGGCGAACCGUUCGGGACAUCACUACUCCCCAACGACAAGGCGAUGACGCAUUCGUAUGUCAUCCAUAUCAACUUUCAAUGUCAUUUACUGCGCCUACCAUGGUGACCACGGGUAAUGGGGAAUCAGGAUUUUUCCGGAGAGGGAGUCUGAGAAACGACUACCACAUGCAAGGCAGCAGGCACGCAAAUGACCCACUCCCGACGCGGGAAGGUAGUGACGAC